AACGCACAUUGCGCCCUCCGGCAUCCCGGGGGGCAUGCCUGUUCGAGCGUCAUUUCAGACCAUCAAGCUCGGCUUGGUCUUGGGCCCGCCGCCCGGAAACGGGCGGGGCCUCAAAUCCGUCGGCGGCCGCGUGGAGCCCCCAAGCGUCAUCAGUUUUUUACGCUUUCGGGGAAGCCCUCGCGCGCCUCGCCACCAAUGACACCAAACAACCCAAAGGUUGACCUCGGAUCAGGUAAGGGUACCCGCUGAACUUAA
rnacentral:misc_RNA from 1 species